GCUAACGCGUUAAGUCGACCGCCUGGGGAGUACGGCCGCAAGGUUAAAACUCAAAUGAAUUGACGGGGGCCCGCACAAGCGGUGGAGCAUGUGGUUUAAUUCGAUGCAACGCGAAGAACCUUACCUGGUCUUGACAUCCACGGAAGUUUUCAGAGAUGAGAAUGUGCCUUCGGGAACCGUGAGACAGGUGCUGCAUGGCUGUCGUCAGCUCGUGUUGUGAAAUGUUGGGUUAAGUCCCGCAACGAGCGCAACCCUUAUCCUUUGUUGCCAGCGGUCCGGCCGGGAACUCAAAGGAGACUGCCAGUGAUAAACUGGAGGAAGGUGGGGAUGACGUCAAGUCAUCAUGGCCCUUACGACCAGGGCUACACACGUGCUACAAUGGCGCAUACAAAGAGAAGCGACCUCGCGAGAGCAAGCGGACCUCAUAAAGUGCGUCGUAGUCCGGAUUGGAGUCUGCAACUCGACUCCAUGAAGUCGGAAUCGCUAGUAAUCGUGGAUCAGAAUGCCACGGUGAAUACGUUCCCGGGCCUUGUACACACCGCCCGUCACACCAUGGGAGUGGGUUGCAAAAGAAGUAGGUAGCUUAACCUUCGGGAGGGCGCUUACCACUUUGUGAUUCAUGACUGGGGUGAAGUCGUAACAAGGUAACCGUAGGGGAACCUGCGGUUGGAUCACCUCCUU
rnacentral:rRNA from 1 species